GAUGAAUGCUGGCGGCGUGCUUAACACAUGCAAGUCGAGCGGAAACAUGCCUUCGGGUGAUGUCGAGCGGCGGACGGCUGAGGAACACGUGGGAACAUACCCCAGAGUGAGGGAUAACGCACCGAAAGGUGUGCUAAUACCGCAUAAUCUCUACGGAGUAAAGCAGUAAUGCGCUUUGGGAAUGGCCUGCGUCGGAUUAGAUAGUUGGUGAGGUAAAGGCUCACCAAGUCGACGAUCCGUAACUGGUUUGAGAGGAUGAUCAGUCAGACUGGAACUGAGAUACGGUCCAGACUCCUACGGGAGGCAGCAGUGGGGAAUCUUUCACAAUGGGCGAAAGCCUGAUGGAGCAACGCCGCGUGCGGGAUGAAGGCCUUCGGGUCGUAAACCGCUUUUAUAAGCGAGAAAUAUGAUGGUAACUUAUGAAUAAGGGUCGGCUAACUACGUGCCAGCAGCCGCGGUCAUACGUAGGACCCAAGCAUUAUCCGGAGUGACUGGGCGUAAAGAGUUGCGUAGGUGGUUUGUUAAGUAGCAAGUGAAAUAUGGCGGCUCAACCGUCCAUCUGCUUGCUAAACUGGCAAACUCGAGAGCGUCAGGGGUAGCUGGAACUUCUAGUGUAGGGGUGAAAUCCGUAGAUAUUAGAAAGAACACCAACAGCGUAGGCAGGCUACUGGGACGUUUCUGACACUAAGGCACGAAAGCGUGGGGAGCAAACGGGAUUAGAUACCCCGGUAGUCCACGCUGUAAACGAUGGAUACUAGCCGUAUGGGGUUUUACCCCCUGUGUGGCGUAGCUAACGCGUUAAGUAUCCCGCCUGUGUAGUACGAUCGCAAGAUUAAAACAUAAAGGAAUUGACGAGGACCCGCACAAGCGGUGGAGCGUGAUCUUUAAUUCGAAGUUAAACGAUAAACCUUACCAAGGCUUGACAUCUGAAGAAGGCUCUCGAAAGAGAACUGUGCCUUUAUUGGAACUUCAAGACAGGUGAUGCAUGGCCGUCGUCAGCUCGUGUCGUGAGAUGUUUGGUUAAGUCCAUCAACGAGCGCAACCCUUGUCAUUAGUUGUAUUUUUCUAAUGAGACUGCCCCGGUAACGGGGAGGAAGGGGGGGAUGAUGUCAGGUCAGUAUUUCCCUUACGCCUUGGGCAAGAAUCGCGCUACAAUGGUAGGUAACAAUGCGGAGCGAAGCAGUGAUGUGGAGCAAAUCGCCGAAAACCUAUCCCAGUCCAGAUAAGAGGCUGAAACUCGCCUCUUUGAAGUCGGAAUCGCUAGUAAUCGCAGAUCAGCAUGUUGCGGUGAAUACGUUCCCGGGUC
rnacentral:rRNA from 1 species